AUCACCCCAGGCAAGCCAAUCGGGACACAUCAGUAAUCUCACACAUCCUCUGUUCAACCGAACCCCCUUCCCGGCCUAUAAAUAUCCAAGCACUGUAAUGGUUUGAAAUUCGCAGGCUAGAGAGAGAAAGACACGGACUGAGAAAGAGAGAAUGCUCUGAGUUUCAGAGACACUGUAAUAGAGAGAGAAAGAGAGUGUGAGUUUGCGAUGAUGAGAACCAGAGACCGAAAGAGCAAAACGACAUUCACAAAUCUGCGCAAACCUCUCAAUCUUAUUUCCUGAGCAUUCUCUUGCGUUUUGUCUCCACCGUCGUCGUUUUUGUUUCUUGAAGCAUUUCGCGCGCGAGGGAGGGUAAGAUGAGUCGUUUAGGGUUCAAGCACGAGGUGUACGACGGCGACAAGCACAUCGGCGAACUAGAUUUGAUUCCUCCGUCGUCGUUGACGACGACGACGCCGUUUCACAACAACUUCCGCUUCCCGAACAACGAGAUUCGCAUCCACCACUUCAGCGCGAAGAGCGAGCGCUGCCCUCCGCUCUCGAUCCUCCAAACCGUUGCCGCAUUCAACGUCCGCUGCAAGCUCGAUUCCUCAGUCGCCACUGAACAGAAGGAACUAAUCGCCAUCCACGCCAGUUGCUUCUACGAAAUGAAGACGGCGGUGGUGGUGGUGAACGACGAGGAGAUUCACCUCGUUUCGAUGCCGAGCAAGAGGAAGAAGUUCCCGUGCUUCUGGUGCUUCGCGGUGCCGUUGGGGCUCUACGACGCGUGCUUGGGGAUGCUGAACCUGCGGUGUCUCGCGAUUGUCUUCGAUUUGGACGAGACGCUCAUCGUGGCGAACACGAUGAAGUCAUUCGAGGAUAGGAUUGAGGCCCUGAGGGGGUGGCUUUCGCGUGAGACCGAUCCGUUGCGGGUGCAGGGGAUGUCCUCAGAGCUUAAGAGGUACCUCGAGGACAGGUUGUUGCUCAAGCAGUACGCGGAGAGUGACACUGUUGUUGAUAACGGGAAAGUGUAUAAGGUUCAGAUGGAGGAGGCGCCACCGCUGUCUGGUAGCCACGAGAAACUGGUUCGGCCGGUUGUACGGUUGCAGGAGAGGAAUAUUGUCCUCACGAGGAUUAAUCCUGAGAUACGUGAUACUAGUGUAUUAGUGAGAUUACGACCUGCUUGGGACGAUUUAAGAAGCUAUUUAACAGCUAAAGGACGCAAGAGGUUUGAAGUAUAUGUUUGUACUAUGGCUGAAAGGGAUUAUGCUUUGGAAAUAUGGAGGCUUCUUGACCCUGGGGCACAUCUUAUAGGUUUAAAGCAAGUCCUUAAUCGUGUGAUUUGUGUCAAAUCAGGCUCCCGAAAAUCUUUACUAAAUGUUUUCCAAGAUGGUGUCUGCCAUCCCAAGAUGGCAAUGGUGAUUGAUGAUCGGUCAAAGGUCUGGGUAGACAAGGACCAGCCUAGGGUUCAUGUGGUGCCUGCCUUUACUCCUUAUUAUGCUCCUCAAGCAGAGACAGCCAAUGCUGUCCCAGUCCUAUGUGUAGCAAGAAAUGUUGCAUGCAAUGUCAGAGGUUGUUUUUUCAAAGAGUUUGAUGAGAGUUUAUUACAAAGAAUUGCUGAAAUCUUCUUUGAAGAUGAUAUUGGACUUCUACCUCAUCCUCCGGAUGUCAGCAACUAUUUGAUGUCUGAGGAUGUACCAAAUGGUAAUGCUAAUGCCCCCUUCAGUGAAGGAAUGAAUGGUGCAGAAGUUGAACGGAGGUUAAGCCAACCUGAUGAUAAGUUUUCUGUUGAUUUAUCCACCCGACCCAUGACAAACAGUGUUGAAUUCAGACAUGAAACCUCUCAGCCAACUGCUGGUAUUAUUUCAAAUGUCACCGGCCCUGGAUCUUCAAGAACACUGAUUCCUUCUCAGAAACCUGGUUUGCUUGGACCUCCUGUCAAGCAUGAUGGCAACUCUGUUGAUCGUGAUUAUGACAUGAGAAAAGGACUUUUAGGCAUGAGGCAUGGUCCAGAUAUAAGAGGUCAAAUUUCAGCUGAACCUCCUCUGAUAUUGAGGCCACCUAAUCAAGCAUCACCAUCUUUGAUGCAGCCAUUUGGAGGUGGGUUGGUAGAAGAUGAUAUAGCCAGCAGAAGUCAGACCAAUAGUUGGCCUUCUGCAUCUGUUAAAGAAUCUAAUGUAAUAAAGUCCGAUAAGCAUCAGGCUCAACAGAAACCAUUUUCUAAUAGUGUCAUAGGUUCAUCCCCCAAUGUUUUACUCCCACAAGCAUCACAACUAAAGGCUGAAGAGGCAACUUCUGUUUCUGAUUUGCAGAGGCAGAUUGUUCCAUCUAAGUCUCAGCUAUCAUCAGAGUAUGGGAUAUCUCAGAAUCAUGCCUCUUCUAACAGCAAAGAUUUUCAACAUGAAGCUGGAAAAAUGAACUUCUUAUCCCCUCUAUCUAUUCAAGUGCUGCAAGAAAUUGGGAGGCGGUGUAACUCUAAGGUUGAAUUUAAGUCUAUUUUAAGCACCAGCAAAGACUUGCAGUUUUCAGUGGAGGUACUAUUCACUGGUGAGAAAAUAGGUGUUGGUAUGGGUAGGACAAGGAAGGAUGCUCAACAACAAGCUGCAGAGAAUGCUCUUCGUAGUUUAGCAGAGAAGUAUGUGGCACAUGUGGAGCCUCAAUGUAGAGCUGUCGAUAAAGAUUUUGACAAGCUUUCUCUUGGAUGUGACAAUGGUUUCUUGUGGGAUGUGAUCAAUCCAGAAUCCAGUGAACCGCAACCAGAAGAUGGAGUGUCUAGAGAAAAUGCUUCUGAGCAUCAAUGUGAAGGCUAAAUCACUGAAUGGGGAGUGAACUGGCUUCACGACUGCUACUGCUGUCUUAGACAGGCUUCUUAAAUUCCUGCUUAUAAGAGGAACCGGGACAUGACGGACGGUUGCUUUCCUGACUGACGGGUGCAGUUCUACGUGUUCCCUUACACAUGUCCCCGAUCGAAGCUCUGCGAGCUCAGACAGGAUUUCUUGAAGAAGAGGAGGAUCAUCGGCACGAGGAAAGAGUUGCAAGUUCGAGAACGGGAUUUUGGGAACUUUCAGGCUUUGGAUGCUGAGACUAGGUCAAGUACCCCUAACGCCACUAAUCAGCAAAUGGACAAGCGUAUGAGCUCCCCGAGGAUGCCCAAUUCUAAACGAUUGAAGGAAUGAAAAAGUUCCAAGAUAAACAAGAUUUACCAUUAGUGCAGCCAGCAACUGGAGAAUUGGCCAUCUGAAUUCUUGGAACGGCAUAUUAUCAUUUUAUACGUAAAAGGUUUUGAUGUAAUUCUCGUGUAAUAUCUCUGCCAUAACAGUUGUAGAUGUGACAAGGUAAUUUCCCUUAGCUAAAUUCUGUUAUAGAGAAGGGCAUUAUUUUUAUUUUGUUUUGCCCUACUAUUUUCCUCAUUAGGAUGUUUCUCUAGCUUCCUGUUCAAUGCCAUAUUAGUUGGAAUAUUAAUUACAAGAAAAUCAUUUCUCCUUUGUAAUUAAUCCCUUUUGGUGGUCUAAUUUGCUAGGAUUGGUCCCUA